AUAUUUUUAGGGCAGUCAAGUUUUAAAAGAGGGAAGUUGUUUUUUUUUUUUCUUUACAAACCCAUUUUGAGCAGUUGGAUCAGUUAUUAUAUCUAGAUGUAAUGGAAUCUACUACCAAAUUCCUGGAUUUUUUUUUAUUAGACUACAAUGAAAAGUUUUGCAGUGAGAGGAAAUAAAAUGAUAAAUUCUUCUUUUUACAUGAUAAGUAGUCCUCUCUGAGUAUUCCCAUGGCUUGGUGGUACAGUAGAAAAAGUGCUAGCAUGAAGUCAGGAAGACCUGAGUUCAAAUCCGGCUUCAGACACUUACUAGCUGUGUAACUCUGGCUCUGCCAAUCAGAGAAGCUCUCAUUCAGGAACAGGUACUGUGCUUUGCUAGCCCUUGUGGGAGAUAUACAAGCAAAAAGGAGGCAGAGUGGCACGAGAGAAAGAAUAAAUGGUUCUAGAGCCAGAGAAUCUGAGUUUAGAUUCCACUCCUGAUGCUUACACCAUCUAUGACAUCGGUUAAGUCAUCUAAUCUCAUUGGGCCACCCUUUCCUCACCUAUAAAAUUAAAUAU